GCCCGGCUAGCUCAAUCGGUAGAGCGUGAGACUCUUAGUUAUGGUUCGCCAUCGCAAGGUUCACAAUCUCAAGGUUGUGGGUUCGACCCCCACGUCGGGCU